ACACGACUACAUUAGAUACCCGGGUAGUCCUAGCCGUAAACGAUACUCGCUAGGUGUCGGCCACGGUGCGACCGUUGUCGGUGCCGUAGGGAAGCCGUGAAGCGAGCCACCUGGGAAGUACGGCCGCAAGGCUGAAACUUAAAGGAAUUGGCAGGGGAGCACAACAACGGGUGGAGCUUGCGGUUUAAUUGGAUUCAACGCCGGAAAUCUUACCGGGACCGACAGCAACAUGAAGGCCAAGCUGAAGACUUUGCCGGAUUAGCUG
rnacentral:rRNA from 1 species